rnacentral:rRNA from 1 species
AUUGAACGCUGGCGGCAGGCCUAACACAUGCAAGUCGAACGAGUGGCGGACGGGUGAGUAAUGUCUGGGAAACUGCCUGAUGGAGGGGGAUAACUACUGUAAACGGUAGCUAAUACCGCAUACCAUCAGAUGUGCCCAGAUGGGAGUAGCUUGUUGGUGGGGUAACGGCUCACCAAGGCGACGAGCCCUAGCUGGUCUGCGAGGAGGACCAGCCACACGGGAACUGAGACACGGUCCAGACUCCUACGGGAGGCAGCAGUGGGGAAUAUUGGACAAUGGGCGCAAGCCUGAUGCAGCCAUGCCGCGUGUAUGAAGAAGGCCUUCGGGGUGUAAAGUACUUUCAGUGGGGAGGCGGUACCUGCAGAAGAAGCACCGGCUAACUACGGGCCAGCAGCCGCGGUAAUAC